CCUACGGGGGGCAGCAGUGAGGAAUAUUGGUCAAUGGCCGUAAGGCUGAACCAGCCAAGUAGCGUGAGGGCAGACUGCCCUAUGGGUUGUAAACCUCUUUUAUGCGGGGAUAAAGGUGUCCACGUGUGGAUGUUUGCAGGUACCGCAUGAAUAAGGACCGGCUAAUUCCGUGCCAGCAGCCGCGGUAAUACGGCAGGUCCGGGCGUUAUCCGGAUUUCUUGGGUUGAACGGGAGCGUAGGCCGUUCUUUAAGCGUGCCGGGAAAUUUUGUGGCUCAACCAUAAGAGUGCGGCGGGAACUGGAGAGCUGGAGUGCGAGGAAGGCAGGCGGAAUGCGUGGUGUAGCGGUGAAAUGCUUAG
rnacentral:rRNA from 1 species